rnacentral:lncRNA from 1 species
UGUUUAUUUCAUACAUGUGACGUGACUCUGUACUCAAACAUCCUGUCAUUGUGUUAUUGUGCUAUAGUACAACUUUAAAUUGUUGUCUUUCAUUUUAACUCAUGUGAUUUUUCUAUAUAUCAUUUUGUGCUUUUUUGUUACAUAUUUGUUUGUUUUUAUUGUGAUUAAGAUUUUAAAUAAAUGUUUACAACUGUACAAAAUGUAGUUUCAUUUAAAUAAUUUAUAAAAUCUUAUAGUUAUUUUUGCUCCGGUGGUAUUUGGAAAUAUUGAAUAGUAAUUGCAAAUAAAAAAAAAGCCUAGGGAAUUUAAUCGUUAAUGAUUUCACAGUUAGAAACUUUAUCAUCUUACAAUAUUAAAAUGUACAUGCAGCCAAACUGUAAAAACUGUGAAUUUUUAUGAUAGAUUUGGGGACUACAAGGUACCUGCUUCUGAGAUGGGCAGGAUGGAGGACAAUAUAAACAGUUACUGUGUUGUAUAAGUAGAACACAUUUUAAAACAGGAAAUUUUGUAAUUAAUUCAUGCCCUGAUUGUUU